ACGUGGCUUGCCAGGCGUUCUAACGAAUAUUUCGUAGUAAGAGGGAUAGCGAAUCUUAUUUAGAUGGUAGUAGAUAACAGAAAUAAGGAGUUAAGAGAGGAAAUUGAAGAUUUUUCCCGUGACCUAAGGUUUCUCUUCUUCUCUCUCGCGGCGUCGGGCUCUUCUCGGGCGAAACCGCAGCAGGAAGCGAGGGCGUCUCCGGCGGCCGGCGGCCGGCGAGCACCUUCCUCCGUGAGGUCUUCACACCAUCGUGAUCCUCUCGUCGAGGAGAACCGUGAGCACGAAGGAGGGGCCGAAGCUUUCAGUUUCCGCAAACCCUAGAGUUUUCUUCCCGGUUGUAAGCCCAAGAACGCAAAGAUAAAGGAAGACGAGGAGGAGGUGCGGAUGGUGUGUGAUGUCAGGACUAUGGAAGUCUUGGGACUUAGUUUAAGAAUUUGUUAGAUUAAUUCUGUGUAUAGGUUGAUAAGAAAGUGUUGGAGUAAGAAGCUGUAUUUUAUUUUGUUUCCGCUAUUCAUUACUUGCAUGAUUUGAUUUUAUUAAA